GUACUUGAAGAUGGGGAUGAUAUGAAUAUGUUCAUACGUAAAUGAGCGUUUUCUGCCUGCAAUGAAGUAGACUGAUGC